rnacentral:rRNA from 1 species
UACGGGCGGCUGCAGUGGGGAAUCUUGCACAAUGGGGGAAACCCUGAUGCGGCGACGCCGCGUGAGCGAUGAAGCCCUUCGGGGUGUAAAGCUCCUUCGUCAGGGAAGAUGAUGACGGUACCUGGAGAAGCAGCUGCGGCUAACUACGUGCCAGCAGCCGCGGUAAUACGUAGGCAGCGAGCGUUGUUCGGAGUUACUGGGCGUAAAGGGUGUGUAGGCGGUUCUUUAAGUUUGGUGUGAAAUCUCCCGGCUCAACCGGGAGGGUGCGCCGAAUACUGAGGGACUCGAGUGCGGGAGAGGAAAGUGGAAUUCCUGGUGUAGCGGUGAAAUGCGUAGAUAUCAGGAGGAACACCGGUGGUGUAGACGGCUUUCUGGACCGUAACUGACGCUGAAACACGAAAGCGUGGGUAGCAAACAGGAUUAGAUACCCCGGUAGUCAUCUUUCUAGA